AUUGAACGCUGGCGGCAUGCCUUACACAUGCAAGUCGAACGGUAACAGGUUAGGCUGACGAGUGGCGAACGGGUGAGUAAUAUAUCGGAACGUGCCCAGUCGUGGGGGAUAACGUAGCGAAAGCUACGCUAAUACCGCAUACGAUCUACGGAUGAAAGCGGGGGAUCGCAAGACCUCGCGCGAUUGGAGCGGCCGAUAUCAGAUUAGGUUGUUGGUGAGGUAAAAGCUCACCAAGCCUGCGAUCUGUAGCUGGUCUGAGAGGAAGACCAGCCACACUGGAACUGAAACACGGUCCAGACUCCUACGAGAGGCAGCAGUGGAGAAUUUUGGACAAUGGACGCAAGUCUGCUCCAGCAAUGCCGCGUGCAUGACGAAGGCCUUCGGGUUGUAAACUGCUUUUGUACGGAACGAAACGGUGAGCUCUAAUACGGUUUGCUAAUGACGGUACCGUAAGAAUAAGCACCGGCUAACUACGUGCCAGCCGCCGCAGUAA
rnacentral:rRNA from 1 species